UACGUAGGGACCAAGCGUUGUUCGGAUUUACUGGGCGUAAAGGGCGCGUAGGCGGCAAUUCAAGUCAGCUGUGAAAUCUCUGGGCUUAACCCAGAACGGCCAGCUGAUACUGCUUUGCUAGAGUGCAGAGGGGGCAAUCGGAAUUCUUGGUGUAGCGGUGAAAUGCGUAGAUAUCAAGAGGAACACCUGAGGUGAAGACGGGUUGCUGGGCUGACACUGACGCUGAGGCGCGAAAGCCAGGGGAGCAAACGGG
rnacentral:rRNA from 1 species